rnacentral:rRNA from 1 species
CAGUUCGGUCCCUAUCCGUCGUGGGCGUAGGAAAUUUGAGAGGAGCUGUCCUUAGUACGAGAGGACCGGGAUGGACAUACCUCUGGUGUACCAGUUGUCGUGCCAACGGCAUAGCUGGGUAGCUAUGUAUGGACGGGAUAAGUGCUGAAAGCAUCUAAGCAUGAAGCCCCCCUCAAGAUGAGAUUUCCCAACUUCGGUUAUAAGAUCCCUCGAAGAUGACGAGGUUAAUAGGUUCGAGGUGGAAGCGUGGUGACACGUGGAGCUGACGAAUACUAAUCGAUCGAAGACUUAAUCAA